GACGAACGCUGGCGGCGUGCUUAACACAUGCAAGUCGAAUGGAAAGGCCCUGCUUUUGUGGGGUGCUCGAGUGGCGAACGGGUGAGUAACACGUGAGUAACCUGCCCUUGACUUUGGGAUAACUUCAGGAAACUGGGGCUAAUACCGGAUAGGAGCUCCUGCUGCAUGGUGGGGGUUGGAAAGUUUCGGCGGUUGGGGAUGGACUCGCGGCUUAUCAGCUUGUUGGUGGGGUAGUGGCUUACCAAGGCUUUGACGGGUAGCCGGCCUGAGAGGGUGACCGGCCACAUUGGGACUGAGAUACGGCCCAGACUCCUACGGGAGGCAGCAGUGGGGAAUAUUGAACAAUGGGCGGAAGCCUGAUGCAGCAACGCCGCGUGCGGGAUGACGGCCUUCGGGUUGUAAACCGCUUUCGCCUGUGACGAAGCGUGAGUGACGGUAAUGGGUAAAGAAGCACCGGCUAACUACGUG
rnacentral:rRNA from 1 species